GUAGGGAAUCUUCCACAAUGAACGCAAGUCUGAUGGAGCAACGCCGCGUGAGUGAAGAAGGCUUUCGGGUCGUAAAACUCUGUUGUUGGAGAAAAAUGGUCGGCAGAGUAACUGUUGUCGGCGUGACGGUAUCCAACCAGAAAGCCACGGCUAACUACGUGCCAGCAGCCGCGGUAAUACGUAGGUGGCAAGCGUUAUCCGGAUUUAUUGGGCGUAAAGCGAGCGCAGGCGGUUUUUUAAGUCUGAUGUGAAAGCCCUCGGCUUAACCGAGGAAGUGCAUCG
rnacentral:rRNA from 1 species